rnacentral:rRNA from 1 species
CCUACGGGAGGCAGCAGUGAGGAAUAUUGGUCAAUGGCCGUAAGUCUGAACCAGCCAAGUAGCGUGAGGGAAGACUGCCCUAUGGGUUGUAAACUUCUUUUAUGCGGGGAUAAAGGUGUCCACGUGUGGGUGUUUGCAUGUACCGCAUGAAUAAGGACCGGCUAAUUCCGUGCCAGCAGCCGCGGUAAUACGGAAGGUCCGGGCGUUAUCCGGAUUUAUUGGGUUUAAAGGGCGCGUAGGCGGGUGGUUAAGAGUGUAGUGAAAUUUUGUGGCUCAACCAUUGAAGUGCGGGGGGAACUGGGGACCUUGAGUGCAGGGAAGGCAGGCGGAAUUCGUGGUGUAGCGGUGAAAUGCUUAGAUAUCACGAAGAACCCCGAUGGCGAAGGCAGCCUGCUGCAGCGUUACUGACGCUGAAGCUCGAAAGCGCGGGUAUCGAACAGGAUUAGAUACCCGAGUAGUC